rnacentral:rRNA from 1 species
UACGAAGGGAGCGAGCGUUGUUCGGAAUCACUGGGCUUAAAGCGUGUGUAGGUGGUCAUGUAAGUAAGAAGUGAAAGCCCCGGGCUUAACCUGGGAAUUGCUUUUUAGACUGCAUGGCUAGAGUUCUGGAGAGGUUAGGAGAAUUCCGAGUGUAGAGGUGAAAUUCGCAGAUAUUCGGAGGAAUACCAGUGGCGAAGGCGCCUAACUGGACAGAUACUGACACUGAAACACGAAAGCGUGGGUAGCAAACAGG